UGCCGCGUGCAGGAAGACUGCCCUAUGGGUUGUAAACUGCUUUUAUAUAGGAAGAACUACAGAUACGUGUAUUUGUUUGACGGUACUAUACGAAUAAGGACCGGCUAACUCCGUGCCAGCAGCCGCGGUAAU
rnacentral:rRNA from 1 species